rnacentral:rRNA from 1 species
UACGGGGGGGGGUAAGCGUUGUUCGGAAUUACUGGGCGUAAAGGGCUCGUAGGCGGCCAACUAAGUCAGACGUGAAAUCCCUCGGCUUAACCGGGGAACUGCAUCUGAUACUGGAUGGCUUGAGUUCGGGAGAGGGAUGCGGAAUUCCAGGUGUAGCGGUGAAAUGCGUAGAUAUCUGGAGGAACACCGGUGGCGAAGGCGGCAUCCUGGACCGGCACUGACGCUGAGGAGCGAAAGCCAGGGGAGCAAACGGG